ACCCAACAAAAAGCAUCCCACCGCGUCUCCGCCCGCCGCCACCAGCAGAUCCAUCCCCUCCCCUCACCUUUACCCUCGAGCUCGGCGGCGACCUCGCCCUGCUCGGCCCGUCCCGCCAAGCUCCUUGCCCCUCCGGCCAAGCCCGUGCCCGGCGCCAUGAACCCCUACGACCUCCGCUUCGCCGACCCCUCGUCGUACCACGACAGGCGCAGCGACCUGGCCGUGGCUCCUAUGGUCGCUCCGCCGGUCCCCAUGCCGGCGGCGAACACUUACGCCGCGGCGUAUCCGCCCGUGCCGGCGGCCUCCGCUGGCGGCGAUUACCCGCGCUACGGGCAGGGCGGCAGAGGCCGUGGUGGAGGCGGCAGAGGCGGUGGAGGCGGCUAUGGAGGUGGCGGUGGAGGCGGCUAUGGUGGCGGCAGAGGAGGGCGCGGCAGGGACGGGCUUGACACGCUCGCCCUGCCAAAGCCUGACUUCCGGAGCCUGAUACCGUUUGAGAAGAACUUCUACGUGGAGUCUCCCUCCGUGCAGGCUAUGUCGGAUGCGGAGGUGGCGCAGUACCGCCGCCUACGGGAUAUCACCGUCGAGGGCCGGGAUGUGCCCAAGCCUGUCCGAUACUUCCAGGAAGCCAACUUCCCAGAUUACUGCAUGCAAGCAAUUGCCAAGUCUGGGUUUGUGGAGCCCACACCUAUUCAAUCUCAAGGUUGGCCUAUGGCUCUGAAGGGUAGGGACCUGAUUGGUAUCGCUCAAACAGGCUCAGGGAAAACAUUAUCUUAUCUGCUACCUGGUUUGGUUCAUGUUGGCGCCCAGCCUCGGCUAGAGCAAGGUGAUGGCCCGAUUGUAUUAAUCCUCGCCCCAACAAGAGAACUUGCUGUUCAAAUACAGGAAGAAUCCACAAAAUUUGGAUCAUAUUCAAGAACUAGAAGCACAUGUGUAUAUGGUGGUGCACCUAAGGGUCCACAAAUACGUGACCUUAGAAGAGGAGUGGAAAUUGUCAUUGCAACUCCUGGGCGGUUGAUUGAUUUGCUGGAAGCUGGUCACACAAACCUACGUAGAGUGACAUACCUUGUGCUGGAUGAGGCAGACCGGAUGUUAGAUAUGGGUUUUGAGCCUCAAAUUCGAAAAAUUGUUGCACAGAUCCGGCCAGACAGGCAAACCCUGUAUUGGAGUGCCACGUGGCCUAGAGAAGUUGAAGCCUUAGCUAGACAGUUUCUGCAAAAUCCUUACAAGGUAACCAUAGGAUCACCUGACCUUAAAGCUAAUCAUUCCAUACAACAAAUUGUUGAAGUUAUUUCAGAUCAUGAGAAGUACCCGAGACUCAGUAAGCUCUUGUCUGAUUUAAUGGAUGGGAGCCGUAUCUUGAUAUUUUUCCAAACGAAAAAGGACUGUGAUAAGAUCACCAGGCAACUUAGAAUGGAUGGGUGGCCAGCAUUAUCUAUACAUGGUGAUAAAGCUCAAGCUGAAAGGGACUAUGUUCUUGCAGAGUUUAAGAGCGGCAAGAGUCCCAUAAUGGCUGCCACAGAUGUAGCAGCACGUGGUCUUGGUAUGAUUAUUUAUUUGAAUAUUAGGAUUAGGUACUAGUUCCGAGUGCUCAAGGAUAAGUCGGAGGGCUGGUCAGCUGUGUUUGGUUGAGUGAACUGAACUUGUGGAUUGGUGGUGUAUACCAAGGUGCCAUCAUGUCAAAGCCUAUGUUGGACUGGCAUGCUUGACAGAUUUUGUUUGGGUUAUACGGUCUUGCGGAUAUUGGAUGCUGCUACCUUAUUGAAUAAAUGGUUACCCAGGCAUGCCAGUUGCAGUAUUCAACAUUUUCUAAUAAAGGCUGAGAGGUUAAUCACCAUCAAUUCCACAUCCAGCAGCGAUUGAUGCCCGGUUCAGUUUUUCAGCUCCUUCGACUUGUGUUUUAGAAAUUGGAAGUGCAGCACUGUGGAUUUUCUUUUUGGUGCUUGUCUAAACCAUGUACUGCCUUCUAUGGAGAUCGACAAUGUUGAUGUUCCAGUGUGGUCCAGCGUGGUUUUCAGGACAACACAUCAAUCUUGAUUAAGUACUGAUAACAUUUGUUAAUUUUGCAGAUGUGAAGGACAUAAAAUGUGUGAUAAAUUAUGAUUUUCCAACAACUCUUGAAGAUUAUAUUCACAGGAUAGGUCGAACUGGCCGUGCUGGUGCCAGUGGAACUGCAUUUACUUUUUUCACACAUGCAAAUGCGAAGUUCUCAAGGAAUCUAGUCAAGAUUUUGCGGGAAGCUGGCCAAGUCGUGAAUCCUGCACUAGAAUCCAUGUCCAAAUCUGCAAGUUCGAUGGGAGGAGGCAAUUUCCGGUCGAGGGGCAGAGGUGGGUUUGGUAACCGGGGUCAUAUCUCUGGAUCAAAUACCUUUCCGUUAGGAGGAAGAAGGGCAUACUAAUGGGUGCGAUGGAACCAUGGGACUUCUAUUGUAUACUACUAGGCAUUAAAUGCAUUCUUUGGGAAAUUUCAGAGAAAUACCCUCAACUACUAGGACAUCAAAGUCAUUUGCUUCUGUUACUGGAGUUAUGAAGCUUCUGAUCAUAUGAAAGACCAACUUUUAUCAACUUCUUACCAUUUCCAUUUAAAUCAAAUUUCUCCUGGAGAACUGUUUUACCGUA